CUGCUCCAUGAAUAAUUAUUAAAUAGCUGCAGUAUUAAUAACUGUACUAAGGUAGCAUAAUAAUUUGUUUUUUAAUUAAAAACUAGAAUGAAUGAUUUAAUGAAAUAUAAACUGUCUCAAAUUAAAUUAAUAAAAUUAUUAUUUAAGUAAAAAAACUUAAAUAAAAUUUAAAGACGAGAAGACCCUAAAGAAUUUUAAUAUUAUAAUUUUAUUAAUAAUUUUUAAAAUUAAAAUAAUUUAAUUGGGGAAAUUUUAAAAUUUAAAUAAUUUUUAAUUAAAAAUAACAAUUAUUUUUGGAUUAUUAAAAAUUUUUAUAAAAAAAAAUUAAAUUACCUUAGGGAUAACAGCAUAAUUUUUUUUUAAAGUUCAAAUUAAUAUUAAAGUUUAUGACCUCGAUGUUGAAUUAAGAUUAAAUUUAAUAGAAAAAUAUUAAAAUUUUAAGUCUGUUCGACU
rnacentral:rRNA from 1 species